rnacentral:lncRNA from 1 species
UUCCAAUAGGCUUACUCUAUAGUAGAAUUACUUUAUUAUAAAGUACAAAUAGAAGAAUGUUACAUUUUUACUCUAAAAAUAUAGUAAAAAAUAACAUUCCUAUAUAUUUUACUCUAUAAAUUGGAGCAAAUCCAACUCUAUAAUAGAAUAACUCUAUUUUAGAAUGAAAUAAAAAAAAAUAAAGGGUUACAUUGGAAAUGGUCUUAGCUCAUAAAAAAAAAAAAUCUGCCAACAAUAUAUAUACACUACAAGAAAUAAUUCAACUUCUGACCUUCAAAUUGGUUGGUAAAUAGUCAGAAACACAUUUUUAACCAUUUUGUGACCACAUAAAAUCGUCAAAAAUAUUCCGUCAGAAAUUGAUAAUGGUGGAAAAGUUGUCAGAAAUUUUUGACUAUAUUAAUGGUUAGAAAUGUCAUCAAAAAUAAAUGUGAGGAAAUGGUCAAAAAUAAUUAUCUAAUUUCUGAUAAAUUUCUACCACUCUUUUGUUAAUUUUUAACUACUAUUUAAU